GUCUGACUCCAAAUCUUGCUAAACCUUGAACUAGAAUGGCCAAUUCCCGCUGGGUGGCCAACCCUGGGUUUUUCUGGAUACUGAUAGGGGGCUUUAGUAGUGAUAUUAAUCAUUUUUAACAAAAGUUGUCAAAGCUUUAAGAGGAACUAUAGUUCUUCUAAAAACAAAUGCGGAACUAUAGUGUUCAUGACGGUGAUAACUGAUACUACAUAAAAACAAAAACUCCCACAAGUUAUCGCUAUGCAACUUGUAAAGUAAUUCUAUAACGACACACUAGCCUUUAGCACUCAGGAUCAAAUAAAUAAAUGCUUUCAGGAAAAAAAAAAUAAUGACUUUUCUCGUUAAUUCAGUUUCCUAUCAUCUGCCUGUUGCAUGUACCUAUUUCUUAUCUUUCAAAAACAUAAAAUCAACUGGAAGACCUCUUAGUGAUAACUAGGUGAAUGCUUCUCGUUGUUCUGUGGGAAGCUCUAGAUCAGGCUCCAAUUCACUGAGAGGAGAGAAAUAAUGUUCCACCAUGUCUUCUGACACUUGUUCCAAGCUUGGAGGAUUCCACUUUGGUGCUAACUCCUUGUCCACCAUUCGUGCACGAACACCCUCGCAAAAAUCGGUAGAGAUAUUCUUGGAUAUUCCCUGUAAGGACAUUCUAUAUUCACGGACCAAGCAUUGAUCGAAUGUUGAAAUCUACCUUCUCUUAUCUGCUAAAGUUGCUGCAUUAUACACUGAUUGAAGCUUCUCCACUUUCGGUGGACUUGGUAUCCAUCUCUUGUGUCCUAAAUAAGCAUCCUCCAAUUUUGACCAGCUGAAAAUGAGUUUGACUUGUAUGGGUAUCCUCUACAUAAUAUUCCUGCGUAGUAGUUCUCUCAGCCAUUUGACUUUCUGAUUGUACUUCCUGUGAAAGCCAUCCAAGCAAGCCUUUUCGAAAGAUAUUUCACUCACUGGGGCAACCAUCCAUGUAGAUUGAGAGCAUAAUCAUCUAUCUUCAAAACUAGAAAAAUAUGAGUUAAUCAGUGUCACAAAUGACAUGGAACAUCAGCCUUAUUCAAGCUUUUGCAUAUGAACACUGGCAUAUCCCUGUCUCUUCAGCUUUCAUUUCCUUAAAUAAUGAUUGAAUGGUCUUAUUAAGGCUGCCUUCCCAUUCCCAUUCACAUAUAUAUUUUUUCUUCCCUUCCCAAUCCCAUUUCCAUUCCCAUUCCCUUGUAUAUUUAGGUUCUCCGGUUUGAACUCUCCAUAGCUUUGGCGUGCUCAAGACUUCUUGCGCAAAGAUCUUCAUAUUGGGGCAUUCUAUAAUGAUCACUUCUUCCAAAGAUGGGAAACUGAAGGUAGAAUUACCAGAGCAGAAGCUAGAGAGGCUUGGUAGAUGUUGAAGUUCCAAACAUUUUAGUUGACCGAAGCAAAUCUUCUCUUCUUCAUCUUUAUCUGCUUCAGUCACUAUAAUUUCUUGGAUCAGUUCACAUUUCUCUAUCUUCAUUUUUCUAAGUCGUUCAAGACUUCUCGCUGUUGAGGAAGAUAUUAGAUUUACUAGACGUUGGCAAUUUGAUACCUCCAGUGUUUUGAGAUUUUGGAAAGAAACUGAGGAUGGCACUAAAAUUUCCAGUCUGCCACAUUCCAGUACUUCUAAAGUCUCCAGAUAUUGAAAAACUGUGAGUAGUUUAGCGUCCAUCAGAUGCUUGAGCCUUGGCAGCUUAGACAGCUUUAGUUCUUUCAAUUUUACAAGUCCAGCACGUGUUUCCUUGCUAAUAAUCUCUUCAUGAAAAAUGAUUUCUUCGAAAGAAGCAUCACUCAGAACAAGCUUCUCCAGAUUGGGUAAACUUUGAAAGAAAUAAGAUGGCAAAAGUGUAGAGUCAUUGGAAAAACAGGUUAGCUCAAUGCCUUUCAGUCCAGACAAGAACACGGAUUGAAAUUUUUCUGGCCACAUAUCCUUCAUGGUUUUCCAUUCCACUUUCAAUUCUUCUAAGCUUGGGAUUGCAACCUUGCCACCAAAAAAAGCAGCCAUGGAAAUAUCAACAUCUCCCUUGUAAACAGAUUCUUCACUUCCCUCAACAAUCACGCUUGAAUCUUGUUCAUAGCGAAAUGCUGAAGCUAAUAAUUCCAUCUUUGGACAGUCAACCACAUCAAUUUUUUUCAAGGAUGGGCAUUUCAGAACAUCUCUUGCAGAAUAAAAACAUGACAAGUUGGGCAAACACUCGAUACUAAUGGAGUGCAAUGAUGGAAAUAUGGUCCUGUCCCUUCCUAUUUCAUAGUCUGCUUCUUUCCUGAUGAUAUGUUCCACCAUUCUACAUCUUUUUACUUCCAUAUGUUGGAGAUUUACAAGACCCGAAGCCAUGGACAGAGUAAAUAUAUUAGUCAAGCUGCUACAAUUCUGAACUUGCAACAACUUUAGGUUUUUAAAGCUCAAAAUUCCUUGAGGAUCAUCGUUCCACACAUGCCUCAAUCUAGGCAAAUCAAUUAACCUCAAUUCAUUUAAAUACUUCAAUAACCCAACAUCACCUUCGUCAGCAUUUAGCCCUUCCAAAUCAAACAGCUCUUCUACAGAAUCGCAUCUUUCUACAACCAGCUCAUUUUUCAUUUUUGACAAGAACAAGUACUUUAGUAUAUUUGAGGACACGGCAUUUGAGAAAACAACACAAUCGUCGACCACUAACUUUCGUAAGUACUUCAAGUUCUCGAAUGGAAAUUGGGCAUGCCAUUUUUCUUUCAGCAUAGGAAAGUUGGAGAGCUGCACUUCACAUAUCAAUUCAAAUGCAACAUAUUUCAUGUAAAGCUGUUCAAUGGUGGCAUUGAGAUUGCCUUCCCAAUGCCAUUUUGGAUCGUCGUACAAGCCUGCCAAUAAACCGCGUAACUUUGGCGUGCUUGACACUCCAGCAGUGAAAAUCCUCAACUUGGGGCAUUUAUGAACAGUUAAUUGUUCUAAUGAUGGGAAUUUGAAAGUGUAACUGCCCAAGCAGAAGCUUGUGAGGCUCUGUAAA
rnacentral:misc_RNA from 1 species